UUAAUCUAUUUUUGUGUAUAUUAAUUUGUCCUAAUUUAGUACGAAAUUGGUUGCUUACAAAUUGUUUGAAUUAUGAUAUUUAUGGCUAACUCACAUUUUUAGCUUGAUUUUAAGUGGUUGCAUAGUUUUUGAUAGUCUGGUAAGUUAACUGGAUCAGAACAUAAAUCGGUGGUCGUUGAUUUUUUUUCGUGGUGUUUAUUUGACUCAUAAUAAUCUCAUCCGUUAAUUUCGUGUGAUCAAACGGUUAUGAAGGUGGUUCUCACGUUAAGAUAGGUUCUCACCUUAAGGUGGUUCUCAUAGGAACCUAAAUCUAUAUAUAUAUAUAUACACACUCAAAUGAGAAGGAAGCUUAAAAUUAGAAGAAUGAGAAGCAAUCUCGUGUGUUCGCUGAGAUUCGAUCUAACCGCUCCAAUGACGUUUUAGUAAUGGCGUUAUUGUAAAUAUUACAAACAAAAAUCGACAUCAUCAUCAAACAAAAGAACAAUGGUUUUCUCUCUCCUGACUUCUCGUGCUUCAUUUUCUCUCUCCUCACGAGUUCCCUCUCAGGAGCUCCUUCGUGAUUUUCUCUCCUUUCCUCACCUGCUGUAACCACCGCGCCGGCACCAUCUCCACGCUACCGUCAUCCACCGCGCCGUCACCAUCUCCACCCUUCCAUCUCCGACCGCCACCAUAUCUACGUCUUCUCCUAUCGUGAGUUAUUUUUAGGGUUUUAUUAAAUUUAAGGGUUCUAGUUCCUGUUGGAAUUUUCUGCAAUUGAGUAGGUUGUUGAUUGUUCUUUCCUGUGAUUUUGUGUUGGUUAGUUAAAAUUGAUUAAUUUGAAGCUCCUCAAAUGAUUGAAUGAUUGAAAUGUGUGAUGUUGAAUUCUGUCUGGUUCUGUUUCUUUGCGCAAUUGUUUUCGGAUUGUUGACACAGAUGAGCAAAUACUUUUAGAAUCUACUCUGAAGCUGGUUGUAGUGAAAAAUUUGCUCAUUUAUUCCAAAUGAGAAAUAUUAUAAUUAUUCAUUUGUUCAAAUGAGCAAAUUUAAUUGUUCAUUAUUUUGAUUCAAUUUUGCUCAUUUCUUAAUAAACUACUAUGAUUGGUUGAUUAUCAGGUUAAAAGCAUUUUGUGUCUAGCUAAUUGCCAUUGAUUGUGGAAGUUUACAAAGUUAUAGUGGGCUUUUUUUCUUUUAUUGAAACCUUAUGACAAUGUAGUUAUUACCAUGACACCUUUUGCAACAGCUCAUGCUUCUACUGAUGUGGUAGACAAGAGCUUACCAAUUUCAUGCUUCGAUUUCCAGAAUCCUGUUGGAGAUGAGCCUUAAGCACUGCAACCGUUCUCCCGUCUGUAUGAUUUCCUUUUAGUUGGAUUUUAACUGUUUGAUAGUGACUAGUGUAAUCCCCGUCUACUAUCUUUAGGUAGCCGUUAAGACAUAGAGAAUUUCCCAUUACUUUAGAAUUAGUAGAAAAGGCUGUUAAAUGAUCUGAUGGAUUUAAUGAGUGUAUUUCUGAAGUUGCUAGUUCUUUGAGCUUUGUUACAGAUUUUUUUAUGCUAUGUGUUUGCUUGACAAGGGAAUAUCAAGUUUGUUUUGCAGACUUGCAGAGUUGCAGAUGCCUUUUUAGAAUUAUGUAGGAGGACUUGGGACUUGGGAGGAAGAAAGAAGGUGAAAUGCCUCGUAUAGUUGUAGUACUGCAUUUUUGCAGUUAUAUAAUGAAGCAUAGUAUUGGUGUAGUGUGAAAAUCUUACGGCAUCAAGCACUUCCAAUAAGUUAAAGGGAAUAUCCUAAUUUUUUGUUCUAUGUAGCAAACAAUAUCUUCUUUACAUCUCCAUUUCUGUGUCUUAACUUAACUAAAUACCUUCUUUCAGUUGCUCUAUUUCAACCGCCAUUUUUUUGGGUUAUCCUGCUCUCUACCAACUGAACAUUUACUCUCGCCUUCUAACCUCAUAGCCCUUUGGUUUCAGUUCUUGUUUCACUUGAUACAGUCAAGUUAAGGUUAUUUAUCUAGGUAAGAUAAUUCAAACUUGUCAUGCAAUUUGUGAUGUUAACAGCCAUCUGGGAUGAUUGCACCUUGCACCCAUCUUCUUUUAGUUUCUUGUGAUCUAUCAAGUUUUUCAACACACUCUUCAAACAGAUAUUUGGUAUUCUUGCAAAGAAGGCAUCAGUAAGUAUUGGGUAGAGUUCUUAGUUAGUUGACUUGGUUAAAUACCAAACUAAUGUUACAGAUGACAAUUCAUUAAAUUCUUGGUAGAUAAUGGAGUGGAAUUGUUACAGGAUGUAUUAGUUCAAUAUUGCUUCCCAACUGAAAAAUUGAGCCGAAGUCUAUUUUGCUCUAGGUAAUUUAUCUUGCAAAAGGAAGGACAUUCAAACACAUAGCAAAAAGAUCUGAUGUUCAGCGCAACCGGCUCGGAGACCACCCCCAGCCUGGCCCGGACGAGCAAUAGCAGAGCCUGAUCGCAAGGUUUGGGAUGGUCCGAAGCCUAUAUCUAUUGUUGGAUCUACUGGUUCUAUUGGUACUCAGACAUUAGAUAUAGUUGCUGAAAAUCCAGAAAAGUUUCGAGUUGUUGCACUCGCUGCUGGUUUAAAUGUGACUCUUCUUGCCGACCAGGUUGUUGUAACUCUCACAGGUUGAUGUUGUAACUCUCACAGGUUGAUGUUGUAACUCUCACAGGUUGAUGUUGUAACUCUCACAGGUUGAUGUUGUGAUUCUUAGUGAUGAAGAAGACAAUAUUGGUAUUCCUGAUCCUUUCAAAGCGUCAUCUCUAGCUACACUCAAUGCUAGGUUUAGUAGGCUCAGUUUAGUAGGCUUAGUGAUAAGACCUUCGUUGAAGAUUUAGAGAAGCAAGCCCCACAAGAGAAAGCUAAGAAGCAAGGCGGUUUGCAGGGACAGGUGAAAUAAUAUGUGAAGACCAAGCAUCCCCAACUACACUAUGAAUCAAAAUUAUACAUGCUGCUUCAAGGAGGAAGUUGAUAAUUCUCGUACCUAAUUGGAUUCCAGAUUUGGCUGGUCUAUUGAAGCAGCAACAAGGGCAUGGCAGAUUGCAUUCGCAUCCAUGAUCUGGAUAGAAAGAGGAGAAAUCUAGGUCAAUUAAUUAAUUAUUUGGCAAGAGUUGACCUACAUUGACUUCGUGAAAUCUGUUGAUGUUGGUCUGUUAUUGCCAUUAGCUCAAGUUUUCGAAUUGUUUUGAUUUACAUUUUUUUUGGUUUUUGCUUUACUUUUGUUGAUUCUAUUUAAAAAUACUAGCCUACUAGCUCAAUAGGUAGGCAUUGUGCAAAUGCACAAGAUGUGGGUUCGAAUCCCAGGUAGGUUAAUCUUUACUUUUUGUAUUGUUUUAUUUACUUUUGAGUUUUGGGUUAAUAUUAUUAAGUUCUUAUCAGUUCAUGUUUUUUUUUUGAGGUAUUAUGUUUCAAGAAAUAAGAAUAACUAACUAUUCUUAUUUUUCUUUUAA